UAUCGUGGUGGACUCGUGGUACCUGCAUAUAAAUGCAUUUAUACAAUAAAUUACGACAAAAUCGAGCUAUUUAAGUUACGUGCUGCCGGUAUUGGAAAGUCAUUUAAUAAUUUUGUUCUGACCAAGACCCAUGUUAAAAUUGUACUGUUAGUUGUAAUAAACGUCUGCAACGUUCAAAUUCUUACGCUGCAGCCUUUCGUAAUUCAUCUGGUAUACCGUUACAACAGAUGACCUUAGAUCGACUGGCUGACGGAAGUCCAGACUCACGAUACUGGCUACCAAGCAGUCGCAUUUUUGGAAAUUUCCGCGUCCUCGUUGAAGUUCACAUGGGAUCUCCCAGCGUUUUACGUAAAAUCCUGUGGCUACGGAGGAAGAUAUUAGAGCGAAGAAUGUGCCGGUAAAACACUCCACAACAUUCUGUAAUUCCCACCACAAUUAAAUGAAAUACAUCAUUAUUGAGUAACAACUGAAUUUUAUGUGAUAUGAGGACGAUGCUUCCCGCAGUAACGCAAGAUACUACUCUAGUAUCUUAAAAUGAAAUUACGUAGGGGCAAGUUGGCUGAUUAUGUCAAGUUGUCAACUGCGAUUGUGCGGAGUGCGAUGUACCGUAUAAUGUUAAAUUGUUACUGUAACAGCUUUGUUAUAACGCAUUGUUGCAAAAUCUGUACAGUGUUCAAGAUGACAGGUUCUCUACUGCUUUGUUGAAAUUUUGAUUCACAUUAAAGUUUUUGCUAAAAUAUAUACUAUAUAUAAAAAUGGAGAAAUAACCGCUGACGCACUCGCAAGUCUGUGCUCUGCGUUCCCUCAAAAUUAGAUGAAUCGAAAAAGUUGGAUGCAGCUUGUAACCGACUUCGACUUGAUACACAGCAUUUUUCAUACUUUUAAAAUCAAAGGAGUCUUGUCAGCGUUUAUUGUUAUGCACUUAAAAUGCAUAAUAAAGGAUACAAGUAUUGCUUACAUAAGAUUCUAGCCGCACUUAAUUAUUUAUAAUCGCUUCGCUCCGUGAUAUAUUUUGGAAUAUUUUUUUGAACUGUAUUUCAUACAGAAACCACAUGUAUACAAACUUUAUUUAAAAUUACGAGUACACAAACAUUACGAAUUCAAUUUAGCAAUGAAUUUAUAAUAUUGUAGCAAGUCUAUGUUUUAUUUUGUUGUCGCGCUGGAAGACGCUGCAAGCGGUAUCCAUGCAGACUUACAGAGUACAAAGCACUCACCAUCACGUGAAUGGUCUUCGAAUCGAGCCAAAAGUGCCAAACACCACAAACGUCCAAGAUGGACGAUGUGGAUUUCAGAAAGAAAGUACAAAACAUAACAACCGCAUGGAAUACAUUUUCAUCGUCGAUGUAGUUCCCAGAGAAUGCUGCUAAAACACAGAUAAAAGCACUAAAUCCCGCUAAGAUGACGACAACGUCCAGCGCCACCAGUGCAACGCUGGGAUGCAUCCGGAAAGGACGGUUGUUCUCAAGAAUGCGCAUCAUUCGUGUGACUGUCGAUGGAAAAAUACCGGUGUCUGACAUGUGAGAUCGUCGGGACGAUUUUAGCUCACCGGUAACGGGGUCAUUUGUCCACUUUUGACAGUGCAUGCGCACAAGAGCCCAUUGAACAAAUCGAAGUCAUGGAACCGAAAGCUUCCUUCGGCUUUUGUUUUACAUAUAAUGUAAUAUUGUUAAUUUGUUAUCAAAGAACCUCCUUUUAAUUGUUUAGAAAGAAAUUUCAACGAUGCUGCACCUUUGUA